rnacentral:pre_miRNA from 1 species
AGAACACACAUUAAUUAUCCCUGGGGCCAUGGGAUAAAAAAAAAACCAUGCAAAAACAAGUUAGCACACCCUAGAAUGGUUAUAGCACAAUUACUAAUCUAUGGCUCUGAUACCAGUUGAAGGGAAAAACCU